AUUGAACGCUGGCGGCAGGCCUAACACAUGCAAGUCGAACGAGUGGCGCACGGGUGAGUUAUGUCUGGGAAACUGCCUGAUGGAGGGGGAACACUACUGGAAACGGUAGAUAAUACCGCAUACCAUCGGAUGUGCCCAUAUGGGAAUCGCUAGUAGGUGGGGUAAAGGCUCACCUAGGCGACGAUCCCUAGCUGGUCUGAGAGGAUGAACAGCCACACUGGAACUGAGACACGGCCCAGACUCCUACGGGAGGCAGCAGUGGGGAAUAGUGCACAAUGGGCGCAAGCCUGAUGCAGCCAUGCCGCGUGUAUGAAGAAGGCCUUCGGGUUGUAAAGUACUUUCAGCGGGGAGGCGUUACCCGCAGAAGAAGCACCGGCUAACUCCGUGCCAGCAGCCGCGGUAAUUC
rnacentral:rRNA from 1 species